rnacentral:rRNA from 1 species
AUCAGGUAGGAACACCCGCCGAACUUAAGCAUAUCAAUAAGCGGAGGAAAAGAAAAUAACAAUGAUUCCCCUAGUAACUGCGAGUGAAGAGGGACAAGCUCAAAUUUUAAAUCUGUCGGGUUUUACCCGAUCGAGUUGUAAUUUGAAGAAGCGUUUUCUGCGUAUUUGGUCAGCCCAAGUCCUAUUGAAUGAGGCAUCAUGGAGGGUGAUAAUCCCGUCCGGUUGAUCAUUGCGUUUUAUGAUACGCUUUCUAAGAGUCAAGUUGUUUGGGAUUGCAGCUUAAAAUGGGAGGUAAAUUUCUCCUAAGGCUAAAUAACGGCGAGAGACCGAUAGCGAACAAGUACCGUGAGGGAAAGAUGAAAAGAACUUUGAAAAGAGAGUUAAACAGUACGUGAAAUUGUUGAAAGGGAAACGAUUGAAGCCAGUCGUACCUAUGGGUAAUCAGCCCUUUGGGGUGUGAUUUUGUGGAGCGUGGAGAGUUAAACGCCUUCAUGCCUGCAUAUUCGUGCACUUUGGGUGUACUUGCCCGUGUGUAAGUUAACAUCAAUUUUGGUGGUCAUAAAAUGGCUGGAGGAAUGUAGCUUCGAUCUUGUAUUGAAGUGUUAUAACCUUCGGUAGAUGUGACGAUCGGGAUUGAGGAUUGCAACGGAUACCCUUCGGGGCUACCUGUCUGAUCUCUGAUUGUUGCUCUGGUGCCGAAAGCUUGCUUACGGUUAUCAAAGUCGAUGGUCAAUAGGUUAGAACGGGUUAAAUUCGUUAAGGAUGUUGACGUAAUGGCUUUAAACGACCCGUCUUGAAACACGGACCAAGGAGUCUAACAUAUAUGCGAGUGUU